GACGAACGCUGGCGGCGUGCUUAACACAUGCAAGUCGAACGGAAAGGCCCUGCUUUUGUGGGGUGCUCGAGUGGCGAACGGGUGAGUAACACGUGAGUAACCUGCCCUUGACUUUGGGAUAACUUCAGGAAACUGGGGCUAAUAUCGGAUAGGAUCUCCUGCUGCAUGGUGGGGGUUGGAAAGUUUCGGCGGUUGGGGAUGGACUCGCGGCUUAUCAGCUUGUUGGUGGGGUAGUGGCUUACCAAGGCUUUGACGGGUAGCCGGCCUGAGAGGGUGACCGGCCACAUUGGGACUGAGAUACGGCCCAGACGCCUACGGGAGGCAGCAGUGGGGAAUAUUGCACAAUGGGCGGAAGCCUGAUGCAGCAACGCCGCGUGCGGGAUGACGGCCUUCGGGUUGUAAACCGCUUUCGCCUGUGACGAAGCGUGAGUGACGGUAAUGGGUAAAGAAGCACCGGCUAACUACGUG
rnacentral:rRNA from 1 species